rnacentral:tRNA from 1 species
GCGAGAGUGGCGGAACUGGCAGACGCACCAGACUUAGGAUCUGGCGGGAAACCGUGGGGGUUCAACUCCCCCCUCUCGCA